UCCUUGAAAUAAAAAGGGAAAACUUUAAAAACCCCCCCUGUGGUUUCAUAGUUUUUCACUUUGCCCCCCUGUGGUUUAAAAUGUAUCAAAUUGCCUCCCUGUGGUUUCAUUUUUAUAUUUUCGGUAGCUUUUUCGUUAAUAUUUCAUCAAAUUAUAUACAAAAAACUUUAGAUACUCAUCUAGAUUUAUCAAAUAUUCACUUUAGUAUCCUUUAAAUUAACUUUAUCACUGAUUUAAGAAAAAAAUAAUGAAAUUGAUAAGAAAAAGAGAAAAAAGAAACCAUAGGGAAGCAAAUUGAUACAUUUUAAACCACAGGGGGGCAAAGUGAGAAACUACGAAACCACAUGGAGAAUUUUUAAAGUUUUUCCAAAUAAAAAUAAAAAUAAUAUGAUAAUUAAGUAUAAUUUUUGAACUAUCAAAUAG
rnacentral:lncRNA from 1 species